GGCGGAUGUAGCCAAGUGGAUUAAGGCAGUGGAUUUG
rnacentral:tRNA from 1 species